AACAAAUUAAUUGUGACGUCUUUUUUGGCGAAAAAGUCAUGUCAAUAGGCAAAAUGGUGGCGGAAAACAAUAAAGGUUCCAUCAUGAAAUCAAAAGGUAAAAUUGACAAAAUAAAAAUGUAUAGAGAAAGGAAAAAACAACAAAAAAGUGAGAGAAAUAAAUUAUACUACGAAAUGAAACAAAAUGAGAGAAUAAAAGAAUACAAAAAUUCCAUAGCUGCUGUAAAAAGGACUUUUAUCUAAUGAAGGCAGGAUCAUGUCAAGAAAACUGAAAAGUUCGGAAACUGACGAUUGGCAGGGUCAGUACCCAGAAGGAACUACCGUUAUUCGUGGAUUAUAUUACAGAAAAACAGGACCUUUAUCGUACAGUUUAAUUAAACGUAAAAAUGUAAUUGUGAGUGUCAAAUCUGUCUUAUAUGUAACAAAUGAUAUUUUGACGGACUCCGUAAUUGAUUUGUCCUUGGCCAUUCACGAAGAAAUAAUUGGACUGGCAGAGCAAAGCAGUUUAUAACAGACUAUUCGGAAUAAAAUUGAACGA